rnacentral:rRNA from 1 species
UCCAACGCGAAGAACCUUACCUACUCUUGACAUCCACAGAAUUCGGCAGAGAUGCCUUAGUGCCUUCGGGAACUGUGAGACAGGUGCUGCAUGGCUGUCGUCAGCUCGUGUUGUGAAAUGUUGGGUUAAGUCCCGCAACGAGCGCAACCCUUAUCCUUUGUUGCCAGCACGUAAUGGUGGGAACUCAAAGGAGACUGCCGGUGAUAAACCGGAGGAAGGUGGGGAUGACGUCAAGUCAUCAUGGCCCUUACGAGUAGGGCUACACACGUGCUACAAUGGCGUAUACAAAGAGAAGCGAACUCGCGAGAGCCAGCGGACCUCAUAAAGUACGUCGUAGUCCGGAUCGGAGUCUGCAACUCGACUCCG